rnacentral:rRNA from 1 species
AGUGAACGCUGGCGGCGUGCUUAACACAUGCAAGUCGAACGAGAACGGGUUAUAGCUUGCUAUAAUUGUCAGCUAAGUGGCGCACGGGUGAGUAAUGUAUAGGGUAAUAUGCCUCUUACUAAGGGAUAACAAAUGGAAACGUUUGCUAAUACCUUAUACUCCUUAUUAACAGAAGUUAAUAAGGGAAGAUUUAUUGGUAAGAGAUUAGCCUGUAUUGUAUCAGUUAGUUGGUGGGGUAAUGGCUUACCAAGACUAUGACACAUAACUGGUUUGAGAGGAUGAUCAGUCACACUGGAACUGAGACACGGUCCAGACUCCUACGGGAGGCAGCAGUGGGGAAUAUUGCACGAAUGGACGAAAGUCUGAUGCAGCAACGCCGCGUGGAGGAUGACACAUUUCGGUGCGUAAACUCCUUUUAUAUGAGAAGAUAAUGACGGUAUUAUAUGAAUAAGNACCGG